CAGCUGAUCGGAGCCAGCCCAGCGAGAGCCGGAGCCGGCGGGGUUCAGCCGAGCACGAGGUUCAGCCGAGAUUAGGAAGCUCAGAGGGAAACGUACAGGGACAGCGUGAUUCCCGUCGAGUCCCGAUCCCUGCAGCCCCGGCAGCCAUUGCGAGAGAGCGGCUGACGUGGCGGGGGGCGUUCCCAUGGUGACGGCGACCACACCCCCUCCCCUUGCCUUGAAAAAUCCUUUGGGGGGGCAGCCACUAGUCGCUGCCCACCAGGUGUAGGGAGGAGCAACCGGCUUGUGUAGCGGGUGACUCCUGGCAAAACACCAGUGUCCUCUGCAAAGAGUCAAGAGCUGUGCCAGUAAAUAAUGACAUUACAGAAGGAAAACAGACAAAUGGGGGCAGAAGAGGAAGGAUUUGGUUGCAGAUUGUAGGACUGGUGGAAUUUCCAUAUUUGAUAAUGUAGUAUUAAAAAAUCUAGAUAUUAUUUAUUAAAAAUAUUUUCUUCUUAAUCUUUGAAAAAAUUGC